ACUCACAACAGCUAGCUAUGAUGGCAAGCUUUUUUAUGGAGGCCUCAAAUCUGCUUUCCAGCCACGGUUUCCACGUGAAAUGCUAGCCAGGAAGAAAACAAAAUAGCCCUUUGAUUGACAAUCCAAAUCACGAACGCAAGGAAUGGGCGACGGAGGAAUGCAGCCAAUGAAGCGUCUCUGGAACAGACAGAAGCUGAGUGCUAUGCACCUGAUACGUCGUUGGGGCUUUGAGUGGGAAUCCGGUGGAUGUGAGUUGUGGGUGCAGCAGCCUCCAGGAAUCCUCAUUCCAGGAACUGAGUUAUUCAAUAGGCUCAACAAAAACACACACCGACACACAGGCACAGACUCACUCAGACACAUUCAGACACACACACACCUCUGCAUUAGUGAAAGAUCAUAUUACUACAGCAUAAGCCCCAACCUUCUCUGUGCACAAUCACAGUAUCUUUCUGCAAUGAUGUAAGCUGCGAGGGGGAGAUUGUUUUUGUACAAUAAU